UAGGGAAUCUUCGGCAAUGGGGGGAACCCUGACCGAGCAACGCCGCGUGAGUGAAGAAGGUUUUCGGAUCGUAAAGCUCUGUUGUUAAGGAAGAACGAGUGUGAGAAUGGAAAGUUCAUACUGUGACGGUACUUAACCAGAAAGGAACGGCUAACUACGUGCCAGCAGCCGCGGUAAUACGUAGGUCCCGAGCGUUGUCCGGAUUUAUUGGGCGUAAAGCGAGCGCAGGCGGUUAGAUAAGUCUGAAGUUAAAGGCAGUGGCUCAACCAUUGUAGGCUUUGGAAACUGUUUAACUUGAGUGCAGAAGGGGAGAGUGGAAUUCCAUGUGUAGCGGUGAAAUGCGUAGAUAUAUGGAGGAACACCGGUGGCGAAAGCGGCUCUCUGGUCUGUAACUGACGCUGAGGCUCGAAAGCGUGGGGAGCGAACAGGAUUAGAUACCCUGGUAGUCCACGCCGUAAACGAUGAGUGCUAGGUGUUAGGUCCUUUCCGGGACUUAGUGCCGCAGCUAACGCAUUAAGCACUCCGCCUGGGGAGUACGACCGCAAGGUUG
rnacentral:rRNA from 1 species